UACGUAGGGGGCAAGCGUUAUCCGGAUUUACUGGGUGUAAAGGGCGUGCAGCCGGGCUGACAAGUCAGAUGUGAAAUCCCGCGGCUCAACUGCGGAACUGCAUUUGAAACUGUCAGUCUUGAGUACCGGAGAGGUCAUCGGAAUUCCUUGUGUAGCGGUGAAAUGCGUAGAUAUAAGGAAGAACACCAGUGGCGAAGGCGGAUGACUGGACGGCAACUGACGGUGAGGCGCGAAAGCGUGGGGAGCAAACAGG
rnacentral:rRNA from 1 species